CUCACACAUUAUUUCAGGCUAUAACCUAAUCCUCUGGUACAAGCAGUCAGCAAAACAGCUACAAUUUCUCGGAUACAUGCUUUAUGACAAAGGUUCCUCUGACAGUGAUCAAGUCGACCAGACUCCAGCAAACAUUUACACAAAUGGGGAAGAAGCAAAAAUCCACUGCUCACACAGUAUUUCAAGCUAUAACCAAAUCCUCUGGUACAAGCAGUCAGAGAAACAGCUGCAACUGCUUGGAUACAUGUAUUAUGAUAAAAGUUAUCCAGAACCGGGAGUGAAUGUAACAAUUGAUGGGGAUGCAAGGCAGCACAAGAACUGCACAUUAACGAUUAAGGAAUUUGAACUGAGCAGCAGUGGAGUGUACUUCUGUGCUGC
ensembl:lncRNA